GUCCACGCCGUAACGAUGGAUACUAGCUGUUGGGAGCAAUCUCAGUGGCUAAGCGAAAGUGAUAAGUAUCCCACCUGGGGAGUACGUUCGCAAGAAUGAAACUCAAAGGAAUUGACGGGGCCCGCACAAGCGGUGGAGCAUGUGGUUUAAUUCGAUGAUACGCGAGGAACCUUACCAAGGCUUAAAUGUAGUUUGACCGAUUUGGAAACAGAUUUUUCGCAAGACAAAAUUACAAGGUGCUGCAUGGUUGUCGU
rnacentral:rRNA from 1 species